UCCCUCGUGGCGCAAUUGGCUAGCGCGUUAGACUGUUAUAUCUCAUAGCAGCUAUCUAGAGGCUGGUGGUUCGAGCCCACCCGAGGGAG
rfam:Magnaporthe oryzae 70-15 chromosome 3, whole genome shotgun sequence.